rnacentral:misc_RNA from 1 species
GAUGAAGAACGUAGCGAAAUGCGAUAAGUAGUGUGAAUUGCAGAAUUCAGUGAAUCAUCGAAUCUUUGAACGCACAUUGCGCCCGCCAGUAUUCUGGCGGGCAUGCCUGUCCGAGCGUCAUUUCAACCCUCGGGCCCCCCUCUGCGGGCGGCCCGGCGUUGGGGCUCAGGCGCCGUCUCUGCUCGGCGCCUGUCCCCUAAAUGCAGUGGCGGCCUCGCCGCUGCCUCCUCCGCGUAGUAGCACAAACCUCGCGGCUGGAAGGCGGCGCGGCCACGCCGUAAAACCCCCCAACUUUACCAAGGUUGACCUCGGAUCAGGUAGGAAUACCCGCUGAACUUAAGCAUAUCAAUAAGCGGAGGA